CCCAACUUCAAGACAUAACAUUUAGAAAUAAUACCCCUCCCCGGAUGUGGACAUUUCAGCUCUAAAUCCAGAUUAUUGAAGGCCACCUCACAACCAUCACACGAAGUGGGCGCCUGUGUCGAUGGACUUCAGAGAUAUUGCCAGAGAUGAGAAUUAUCAGUUGCUGCUGCACAGAGCCAGGCAAUCUGCCACUUUCAAGUGCUAAUAUCUGCAGCUGCUGAGUGCAAGAAGGCCAGUUUGAAAACAAAGAAAAUGUGGGGGCUCUACAUCUGAGAUGGAGACUCCAAGUGUGAUUUCAAUUAAGCGCAUCUCAGGAAAACUCUGCCCACAAGCUCCUAAGGAGGCAGGUUGUCGGUUUGAUUAUGACAAAGAGCCUUCAGGAGUGGUAAAAGAAUCCACAAGAAAAUGACGUCCAUAUUUCAAUCUAAAUCGGGAAAUCAGAUCUGGACAGCAUUAAGAGAAGCUAUCAGCUUAGAAGCUUCACAGUUCAAAAACAUUGAGAUCUAGAGCAGCAGAAGAUUCAUUUCACACUCAA